UCUAGGCUUAGUUGUGAAUAUGCCUAUGUUAAUCUGACUGAAAAGGCAUUGAAAAUACAGCAAUAUGCCUAUGAAGACCAUUUAAUGUUGGUGAAAAUUCAUGAUUUCCAAAAUAUGCCAAUAGGAAGAAAUAGUGGAUUUUUAAUUCUUUGAAUUUCAAGAUUAUCAGCCCCCAUUUAUGAAAGAAACAUAAAAGGUGUAUUCUGAUCAGGUACAAGGCCACUGAGGAAGACAUCUGUUGAAAUGCAUUUGGCCGUAUUUUGUAUUUUAUUAUGUAUGGGCAUUGAUAUGAAGUUGAAUGUAGAAGUUUACUAGUGAGUUUAUGCUGGGUUUAUAAAAUAUGUACAUUAAAUAAUGGUCUAUUUUUAA